GUGGGGAAUUUUGGACAAUGGGCGAAAGCCUGAUCCAGCCAUGCCGCGUGCAGGAUGAAGGCCUUCGGGUUGUAAACUGCUUUUGUACGGAACGAAACGGCUCUUUCUAAUAAAGAGGGCUAAUGACGGUACCGUAAGAAUAAGCACCGGCUAACUACGUGCCAGCAGCCGCGGUAAUACGUAGGGUGCGAGCGUUAAUCGGAAUUACUGGGCGUAAAGCGUGCGCAGGCGGUGAUGUAAGACAGAUGUGAAAUCCCCGGGCUCAACCUGGGAACUGCAAUGGUGACUGCAUCGCUGAAGUGCGGCAGAGGGGGAUGGAAUUCCGCGUGUAGCAGUGAAAUGCGUAGAUAUGCGGAGGAACACCGAUGGCGAAGGCAAUCCCCUGGGCCUGCACUGACGCUCAUGCACGAAAGCGUGGGGAGCAAACAGGAUUAGAAACCCUGGCAGUCC
rnacentral:rRNA from 1 species